UUUCCAGUGAGCACAUGCACCCUAUAAGAAAAACCUCUUAAAAAAAAAAAAAGAAAAGAAAACUGGCAUCUCCUCUUUAGGGGUCAGAGCUAGGUGGAGAAUCAAGGGGAAGGAUGAAGGAGGGAAGGGGGCAAGGGCCAGGGCCAGACACUGGUCCAGACGUCCAGGGCAUGGCCCAGCCAUAGGCAGUGCAAGCUGUUGGAGCAUGCCAGCUGCCCGAGUCCGUGUCGUCCCGUCGCACGCACCUGUAGAAGGCCAACCUUGCAGCGUGCCCUUCCUCACGAUCGCCUCGGUGGGAAGCCUCUCUUUCCACCUUGGCCCUACAGAGAACCUGGGUGACUGAUCUGUGUGUUUUCUGGAAUGCUCUGCCCUUGUUCAGCCACAUCAAGCCAGCUCUUGCCUCUGGGCCUGUGUGCUUGCUGUCCCCUCUGCCAGAAACAUGCUCUUCCCCUGACAUCCACGUGGCCCCCUCCUCACUCGUUCAGGUCUCUGCUGCAAGCUCGCCUUCUCAGGGUGGCUUCCUCAGCCCCCUCUCCAGAAUACCAGUGCCCCUCCCCCGGCAACCCCCAGCAGCCUCCUCCCUCGUGUUUUCCUCCACAGCUCUCAUCUCGGCCUGCUGGAUACGUUUCCCACCUAUCUCCCCAAUCCAGGAUCGAAGCUUCCCAAGGGCAGUUUUAUCUAAUUUGUUGGCAAAAUGGGUUUCCAUUUCCCGUAACAAUGACUAGCACAUCACAAGCAAUCAAUAUUGGUUGCGUAAGUUCAUGGAUCCUUUGCCUUGUCUCAACUGUCAUCAUUUAAAAAUGACAUAAUGUAGACCAGCCCUAGUGUAGGCAGCAGGGUGCCGCUGGGCAAUACAGGAGCAUACAGGAGGGCCUGGGUUCAGAUACCAGGCACAACUGCGAUCCUGGCUGUCUAGAAGGCUGGGGAGAGGCUGUGGUGUGACAAGACCCUGUCAGGGGUCACUGUCUCGCUCAGGAAGGAAAUUUUUUUUUAAGUGGCAUAAUGGAAUCUGGACACUGUUCCUGAAAAUCUCCUUCAGAUCUUCUAUGGCUGGUGCUUUAGAGAGAAGUGUGGAUUAUAUUGGCUACGUGCCUCCAGGGACUGUGAUUCCAAAACUUCAUCCUGGUUUCUUCAAGCCUCAACUAUGCGAGCUAGCCCAGGUCACGCGUGUCCCUGUCGAGGAGUCAGGGAACCCAGUUGAGCCGGCCUCCACCAUAGCCCGAGUCAGGCCUGUGGCUUCCAGAAGCUGCUCUUGCAGGUGUGUAUUUCACCCUGCUUUCUCGGACUGUCUGUGGGUCCAGUCCUAUGCAGUCUUCAGUCCAUGUCCCACGGCAUGUGCGGCAGCCCAGAGAUCGCCUCUGCUCCGGGUCUCAGCAGACAUGUCUGGGCAUCCGCUCACUCUUCGGUGACCUUCAAGACUUCCCCAACUCCAGGUCUAUUUGUUUCAGAAGUUUAGUCUACCCGCGCUGGUAAAACUGACCACAACAGUUGCUGACGACGGAUUCCAAGCUCUCUGCUGAGAUGUUUUUACUAAUCAGGGGUAUUACAGUUAAUUCCAGUUCCACUAAUGAAUUCUAGUCCUUGAGACUUCUAUGUGUAGGCACUGUGUUACUUAGUAUGCAUGCACAUGUCUGUGUGUGUAUGUGUGUGUUCUGUGUGCAUGCAAUGUAUAUGGUGUGUGUGUUAUGGGGGUGGAGAGGCAAGUGGUCUCAUCUCUAACUCCAUUUGGUUAAAUUGCAAUAAAUAUGAUGGAGAAGACCUACACAAGGCUUUUUGAUCUGCUAGCUACAAGGUCUUUCUUUGUUGUUUUUUGAUAGUGUUUCGAAUCCCAGAUAUGCAUGCAUUCUAAUUUUUUUCUAAUCUCCUGUUUUGCAAUGUGGCCCACAUUGAAGGUCAUUUCUGUAAAAAUAAUGAAUAAUUCUCUCGAGAUAAAACCUAAAAGUGAGCAGAUAUAGUUUUAUUCAAGGUCCUCUUCAAGGGCAAGGACAGUCAGUCUACUGAUUAAUGAGUUCCUGGGUGACAAAUGAGACACACAUUUGUGUGUAGAAACACAGAGGGCCUACCUUUGGACUGGCACACUCUGCCAGCCUCCCAGACACACUCUGACCCAUUCUGCUCUCUCUCACGUUCUCUUGCAGGAGAAGAGGAGGGACCCUGGCUGUAUUCAGGCUGCUGUCCAUGUUGAGGGUCCCUAAGGGCCUCGACUCAGCCAUGGGGCAUUAGUGCUGACCCAAACUCCCAGCAAGGAUGAGUCUGUUCUCACAAUGCAUCCCCUGUCAUUUCCCGGCAUCCUAAGAACUUGCCUUCAUACUUGUCCUUGCCAGGAAAUGACAUCUGCUUCCAGCCUGUAUGUCUCAGAUGGGCGGGGUGAUGGCUCAGUCCUGCUGUUCACCAUCCCCUCCAGUUUAGUGACAGGCACUAAACCUUAGA